rnacentral:rRNA from 1 species
UACGUAGGGGGCGAGCGUUGUCCGGAUUUAUUGGGCGUAAAGAGCUCGUAGGCGGCUCGGUAAGUCGGAUGUGAAACCUCCAGGCUCAACCUGGAGACGCCAUCUGAUACUGCCGUGGCUUGAGUCCGGUAGAGGAGCAGGGAAUUCCUGGUGUAGCGGUGAAAUGCGCAGAUAUCAGGAGGAACACCAGCGGCGAAGGCGCUGCUCUGGGCCGGUACUGACGCUGGAGGAGCGAAAGCGUGGGGAGCGAACAGG